rnacentral:lncRNA from 1 species
GAGGGAAAAGCUGCUGCAAAACUUGCAAGCCGUAGCUUGGAUCCCAUCCUGCUGCUCACAGACAGCUGAUGUGCAGCACUCGGGCGACUGAGAUCCAGAUCCCUCUCUCAUGUUAUGCCGUGUUGAAGCCUCUAGGACAACAUUUUGGCCUGGAUUCAGGAAGCCUGUUAAGGAUUGCAGCCCGGAAAGGUUGGAGGCUGGGAUGGGCGAGAUGGAGCCGGUCUGGGAACAGCCCUCUGGUGAGGUUGCAGGAGGCUGCAGGACCUUCCCAGCAGGACAACGGCCGUGUCUGUCCGGUCCUCCAUCCAGCCCCGCCGUGUCCCGAGGGCUGCAGGAGACAUGAGCUCACUGCUGAGACGUGCCAAACCAAGCCUGCCGGGCGAGGCUGCUCCCAGCUCUACGCUGACAUCUGCCAGAGAUUUCCAGCACUGCUGUCUCAGUGCUUCUCUGCAGAGCACAGCCCCUGAGCAUCCCAACAUCCUGGUCCUCCUGUGGGCCGGAGGUAUCCACAUCUACUUCCCCAUCGUUAUCCCAAUGUCCCCAUCCCCACCUGCAUCCCCAUCCCCACCCACAUCAACAUCCAAACACCUGAACUGGUUGCCAUAGAAACCACAGGUCUGUCUGUCUGCCCGUGCCAGGAGAUGAUGCUCUGCUCCCCCUGGCACAGCUAUUUGUGGUCCACAAGGGAAACAAGGGCAGAUUGGAGGCAUGGAACAUCCCCACAAGGAGGAUGGUGCGUCCUGGGAGUGGAUGGGAAAGCGUAGCUCUGCCAGAAGUUACAGCAUUUGGGACAUCAACGUGAGCAGAGGACGAAAGUUAGGAAUCGUUACAUGGCACGGCAGAAGGCAAAAUGUUCACCUGGGGAACACAAUUAGCUCAGCAGGUCUUUUAGUAUCAUUAAGGGAUUAUUGUCUUGUUAUUACAUGUCCCAUCAUUAAGGGAUUAUUGUCUCAGUGGUUCCUUGACCUCUUGGGCAUGGCUGGAUGGUGCCACAUCAGACCCCAAAGAAGGUGUUGUUAGGGUGGGUGGGGUAAUGAGAGUCGUCCUCUCCUCCAGAGACCACCAGCAGCACUGGGAGGCAUCUUUAGGAUGCAAACCUUCCUGUCCAGCUGGAGAAGUGGAAACUUUUCCUCAUCACCCCUUCUAAAUGAGGCCUUUUUGGCUCUGCUUUAAUGAAAAGUUGAAACUUCAUGCAGCAAGCAAACGCCUCCUCCUAUCUAUCUAUUCUUCUUCCCAUCUGAGUUGUUUCUGCUUAUUUUUCAGCAUACUCGAGGUGUUUCUCUGCCCUAUUCCAGAGCAGGGGAAACUGAGGCACACAGCAGCUCUGAGAUGCUCCCAUGAGACCUUCCCUGUGCUGAGAUUCCCACAAAGAGAAAUCAAGCUAAAUCAUCAGGGAUGUGACCAAUUGAUUUGGUGUUCAAGGCCAAAGUUGGAUGGGGGGCCCUAGGAAACCUCAUCUAGUGCUUGAUCUAGCAGUCUGCAACCCAGCCUACAGCAUGGAGGUUGGAAGUGGACAAUCUUUGGGGUCCCUUCCAACACAAGCUGUUCUAUGAUUUCCUGCCCACGUGGUCCUGUGGGCACCCCAGUGACCGUAUAUGGCCAACUCGGCUCUUCACCUCCUAUAAAAGAUGCUGGCUGCUGGUUUCCUUGCUGCCAGCCCUCCUGGAGCUGUGCGUUCUGCAUUUCCCUUUUAGGAAGCAAGAUUCUUGGACAUAGGGCAGUAAAAAGAAAACAUCUCUCAGCUCUUAUUUAUCGCCUCUCCUUAUAACUGACCACUCUCCAAAUAGAGGGACCGAUUGCAGCCCAGGAGUGCAGCACAACGGUGCCAGAGGUGCCUUUGGCCCCUGCUGUCCUGGAUGGAUUUCCAUGCAGAUCUCCCCACCUCACUGCUAUUUAUGGGGUCAGCUCCAGGCAGGCAACCCAGCUGAAGUCCUGGUGCUUACUGCUUGCUAGCCAAGCCAAACAGCGGAGUGAUGCAAUAUUGCACAAACUUUCCAGCCAGGGAAAUUAAUCUUUGCAAUAGGAAAAAAAAAAAAAGCAGUGAGCACAGAAGGCAGCUCAGGGCGUCUGUCUUGGAGGGGAUGUCUGUUCAAUGGGCUCAGCACAUGUUGUUCUGGCUGCUUCCGCUGAACUCUGCUGCUGGCGAGGUCAGCGUUGCUGUGGGUUUGCUCAAGCCCCGGGGCUUCUCCUCGAGCUGCUGGAGCUCAGGGAGCGUUGGGACAUUGCUCUCAGCCACAGGGUUUGGGUGGUGCUGUGUGGAGCCAGGGGUUGGGCUCUGAUCCUCGUGGGUCCCUUCCCAUUUGGGAUAUUCUGUGGUUAUGUGCUUCUAUCAUUUUAUGAUUGUAAGGUAGAGGUGGGAUCUUCAGGUGGAAGAGUCUUUUUUGGACGAUGGUGUGCUGCAGUUUGGGUAUCCAUGUAAACUCUUUUUGCACUGCUCCUCAGUUUAACCUCAGUGCACGUGAUGAGGAUCCGCUCACUUUUCAGCCUGGACCUGCCCUACUCUCACCCCACUUGGUGGGGCAUUGGGUUCCUAGCUCUGGGUGUCUCGAUGGAUGGACAGGUUACUGAAGAGAUGUCCCUCUGCAGGUUGGAUGGAACCCUGGGCAACAUGAUCUGGUGGCUGACAGCCCUGCUUGCAGCAGGAGGUUGGAGCUCAAUGAUCUUCAAGGUCCAUUCCAACCCAACCCAUUCUACAGUUCCCAACCAAACCAUUCUACGACUGUGAUUCCAACGGCUCCUAAUUUUGCAGCUCCGUUCAAGCCCCAUUCUGUCAUCACUCUAACACGAGCUGCCACCUAUCUUUAAACCUUCUUUCACCCUUCUCUGCAUCUUCCCCCAAAUCCUUUACGGGCCAAAAGACCACUCGUGCGUUAUCGGCUCUUUGGAAAACCCCGGGCAGCGCACGUGGCUGCCGGCUGACGCUUCACUGCCUCUCUGAUCCCUUACGUAACCAGUGACUCUGUUUGUUUUUCCUUGCUGACUUUAUUUGUGUGUGACUCCCGCCUUCGCUGCUCUUAAAGCCGCUUAUAGUCACUCUAAAGCCCCAGCUUAGCCAGGCACCGCUCUGGGUCCUGAGCGACUUGCUGAGCCGCCUCCUUCGUUCCCUUGCAUGAAGGUUUCUUUCCCUCUUGCUGGUUCCAGGUUCAACAUUUUUAUGGCUUCUCCCCUGCACAGCAGUUCUGAUUUGGGACCUGCUGCUCACGAGAUGGCCCAAAGCCUCUUGAGUGGGUUGGCCAACGUCUUGCUUAUCUCCUAGUGGGGUGACUGACUUAUUACGUGGUCUGACAGUGAUAGGACAAAGGGAAAUGGCCUUAAGCUAAAAGAGGGGAGAUUUAGAUGAGGCGUUAUGAAGAAAUUCUUUACUCAGAGGGCGGUNAGGAUGGAGAAAUGGAGGUUGGCAAUGGAGAGGGGAAGGCUGGGGAUGGAGAAGGCAAGGAUGGGGAUGGAGAAGAGGAGACUGAGGAUGGAGGAAUGGAGGACAGGGAUGGAGAAGAGGAGGAUAGAAUGGAGAAUAGAUGGUGGGUGUGGAUAAGAAGAGGCUGGGGAUGGAGGCUGGGUCACCUUUAGCCCUCAGCUGUUGGCUACAUCUCCCACAGCUCAUCACCCAAAUCUGCAAGCCACGUCAGCCCAUGCCUCAGAAGUCCUGCCCUCCAGCACCUCAAGGGAUGAUCUUCACCAGCAGACACCCAGGAGCAUUUUCCCAGCCUUACUCCUA